UACGUAGGGUGCAAGCGUUGUCCGGAAUUAUUGGGCGUAAAGAGCUCGUAGGCGGUCUGUCGCGUCGGCUGUGAAAGCCCGGGGCUCAACCCCGGGUCUGCAGUCGAUACGGGCAGGCUAGAGUGCGGUAGGGGAGAUUGGAAUUCCUGGUGUAGCGGUGGAAUGCGCAGAUAUCAGGAGGAACACCAAUGGCGAAGGCAGAUCUCUGGGCCGUAACUGACGCUGAGGAGCGAAAGCAUGGGAGCGAACAGG
rnacentral:rRNA from 1 species